rnacentral:rRNA from 1 species
UACGUAGGGUGCGAGCGUUGUCCGGAAUUAUUGGGCGUAAAGGGCUCGUAGGCGGUUUGUCGCGUUGUUCGUGAAAACUCACAGCUCAACUGUGGGCGUGCGGGCGAUACGGGCAGACUGGAGUACUGCAGGGGAGACUGGAAUUCCUGGUGUAGCGGUGGAAUGCGCAGAUAUCAGGAGGAACACCGGUGGCGAAGGCGGGUCUCUGGGCAGUAACUGACGCUGAGGAGCGAAAGCGUGGGGAGCGAACAGG